rnacentral:rRNA from 1 species
AAGAGUGUAGGGCGUGGUGUAGGCAAAUCCGCACCACAUGAGCCUGAGACUUGACGGGUAGCCGAAUGAGGCGAAAUGGAUGAUCCUAUGCUGCCGAGAAAAGCCUCUAGCGAGCUCCGAGCGGCCCGUACCCCAAACCGACUCAGGUGGUCAGGUAGAGAAUACCAAGGCGAUCGAGUGAACCGUGGUUAAGGAACUCGGCAAAAUGCCCCCGUAACUUUGGGAUAAGGGGGACCU